UUGAGGUAAUCAAAAUAUGGACUUCAACAACCAUAUUUAUAUUUACCCAUCAAUACUUGGUUAUUACUAUAUAUGGUCAUGUAUGAGUCAACAAAGGGACAUGGUAACAAUGUGUUGCAUUGUUCCUGAGUUAAUAAAAGUGGGAGUCCAGGCACAACUUCUUCAGAAACUCAUGUAACAUCAGAGCAGACAGCUUGGCUGCAUAAGGCCAAAAGAUUAUAUCUCUGCUCCUGGAAUCCUAAAACCUCAAGGAAGAUGUCAAGCUGCAAAAGUAGUCCAGCAACAGAAUGUAAGUUUCGCAAAGUUCCUCCAAGCAGGAGGAACAAGAGGUGCAGGAAAAUCUACGACGCACCACUGAAGAAGAAGAAAGGAUUUGUACGUGUCUGUGCUACAUACUACUACUGGAAAGGAGGAAAAAAAUAAUGUCCUUGCUUGGAAAGUCCAUCUCUGCCACUAGUUGUUAAUCACCACCAGGCAUCUUCCGUGACAGGAGACGUCAGCAAUUAUGACCGGAGGGAACAGCACAAGAAAGAUCCAGGACCUCUUCUAUGAUAGGAGCUAGAUAUGUCUGUCUGUCAAUAAACUCAUGAAAGCACUCUUUG